CUCGCGGGUCCGGAAUGGUAAUGGAUCCAAACAAAUAACUGAAUGGAUUUUAUGGCCAAAACAUUUUGGCUACAGGUUGAGUCGGUUCUAAACUGAAAUCCAAACCAAGAAACAGAGGAAACCAAGUGUUUAUAACACCGCUUCGUAUACACACAAUUCAUUUACACACAUAUAGAUAAUCUCUUCGGUUGUUUUAUUCUCUUCGACGACGAAUCCUAACUCCAAAAGCUAUCUCGAUUAUUGAUCAUCAUAAUCAUUAUGCGACUCAAAUUGGCCACUGUAAAUCAGCUAGUCUCUUCAUCUCAUUCUUCAUCUGAGCAUUCAAUAAUCCAAUCACAUGUUUAGAUGGAUUUUCAUUGUUUCACCCGAACCAAUUCGAACCUGGUUGGUCUCGAACCGGAACGUACAGGAAAUGUCAAAACUCCGAAUAGAACUUCUAAACUUAGAUACGAAAAUCUGAAAACCCGUUUAAAUCGAAUCGAAUCCGAUGGAAAGAUCGAAUACCCAGACCUAACGUUUGAUCUGUUUUCUGUAUUUGGAGUCUUAGGCGAGGCGAGUGGUAUUUCUGGAGUCCACCUCGCUGGAAUAGAAUGUUCUGUUCUUUUGCUUACGAUGUGAACGUCACGAGACACGAGCUAUUAGCAUGUGUCACUAACGCGCGGCGUCUUGAAGCUCUUUAGAUUUCGUAUGUGUUUAACAUGUCAGCAGAUAAAAACUUUGUAUUUUGUUUCUAUUUGAAUUUUUUUUUCUAUUUGAAAUUUUAUUAUUACUAGAUAGUUAGCAACAGUUCAAUUUGAUGUGUAUUAUAAUAAGUUAACUAGAUUUUGACCCGCCCUUCAGAGGGCGAGACAAUUGUUUUGUUUUAAAUUUAUGCUCUUGUUCGAUU